GGGUCGUCUAGUGUCUCGGGUGAAAAAAAUCGAUUUAUUUUUUUUUGCAUAAAUAUUAUCUAAAAUAUGUGUAGAAGACGUGGGUAAAAGGAUUUUUCGAUAUUGAAAGUGGUUUAAAAGUUACAACCGUAUAUCGGAGCAGGUAUACGGAUAGCACGGGAGCCCGCUCGGCGGGGCGUGUCAGCGCUGUCACGUGACAGUUCUCGCAUCGACCGUUCAGAGAGACACUUGAGCGAUUUCGCAAAAGAAGCCCGGGUUUUAAAGAGAGAACAUAAAACGGCUUUGCAGAACUUUUUUGAAGAAGACGGUGAACUGUAUCGUCCAGGUAUAGCAGAUUUAUGAUAAGCAGAACAGCCGAAAUCAUGGCAGCAGUUGAGAAACUUUUUUUUUAUAUGUGUCCCUGUUGGCUGAUGUAAUUAAAAAAAACACUAAGUAUAUCGACUUUAAAAAAUUCAUAAAGUUUGUUAAAAUGUUAAUAAAUAUGAUAUAAAAAUUA